rnacentral:rRNA from 1 species
UUGGACAUGGGUUAGUCGAUCCUAAGAGAUAGGGAAACUCCGUUUUAAAGUGCAUGAUUAUCCAUGCCGCCCAUCGAAAGGGAAUCCGGUUAAGAUUCCGGAACCAGGAUGUGGAUCCUUGACGGCAACGUAAAUGAAGUUGGAGACGCUGGCAGGGGCCCUGGGAAGAGUUCUCUUUUCUCCUUAACCGCCUACAACCCUGAAAUCGGAUUAUCCGGAGCUAGGGUUCAAUGGCG